rnacentral:rRNA from 1 species
UACGUAGGUGGCGAGCGUUGUCCGGAUUUACUGGGCGUAAAGAGCGCGCAGGCGGUCGUUCAAGUCGCGUGUGAAAGCCCCCGGCUCAACUGGGGAGGGUCACGCCAUACUGAUCGACUCGAAGGCAGGAGAGGGUAGUGGAAUUCCCGGUGUAGUGGUGAAAUGCGUAGAUAUCGGGAGGAACACCAGUGGCGAAGGCGACUACCUGGCCUGUUUCUUGACGCUGAGGCGCGAAAGCUAGGGGAGCAAACGGG